AUAGCUAGACGGGCCCCUCCCCCCUCGCGCGCCCGGUCAACGUCUGCUGCCGGCGGUGCCUACUAACCUGCUAGUGGGGGAGACCCGCACCGCCGCGACCAAUCCGCUCUUGCGCUCGCCGGACCGGCAGCCAGUGGGCAGGCGGGAAAGCCGGGCUGAGCCCCGGCGCAUCCUGGGAGUCGUAGUUUCUCUCCGUCGAAGAGCUCCUGCCGGGCGGGUUCACCCCGCCCAGUUGCCAUUAGUUACCCUGACGCACCGCCCACCCCACAUCCACGUAAAAUGCUCCCUCGCGUUGCUUCUGGGGCACCUCUCACACUCACCCAAAUGCUUUUCAGAGCCCAGCGCAGUCUCCUAAGAGCCUUACCGAGACUUCCUAAGAUCCCCUGAAUUGCGAGACUUUUCAGGCUGGGGCCCCAGUGCCCCCCCCCCCCCCGACUCCCACCCCCUAAAGCCGACCUUCAUCUUAACUCCUUCCUGACCUGGGUGGCUACUGAAGAGGCGCAUUCCUCACUCUUGUUCCUGGGCCUCAAGGAAGAGGAGAAAAGGUGCACUAGAUAAUGCCCCAACUGAGCAGCUCUGCAGAGGCAGUCACUGAUACAACCAUUUUCAUUUCCUGAUUGGACUCCUGGGAAAAACUCAACUGAUGACCAAGAAAAGAGCCAAGCAGGUGGAAAUCCAUGAGGCCCUUAACAUCAAUCUGGAGACCAGUGCAAGAAAGAUUCUCGAGGUUCUUACCCCCAGGAUCAUGUGACCUUGAACAAGUUAUUUAAUUUUCCUGAGCCUUAGUUUGCACAGUAGAAAUAAAAAAUAUCUAUUUCUUGGGUA